CUCCAAGUGUUCCUCCACCUGUCAAGUGCUGCUUUUUAGGACAGCUUAGAGGCUAUCCAUUGAAAGAUAUGGUCAAUUGUUUUCUAGUUGGGAAAUAGUCUCAGGUGCAUUAAAGGCUUCCUAUUGCUUAAAAUUCUACAACGUUAUCUUCUUCAUAGUGACAUGUUUAUCUGUGAUGCUGCGGUCUCACACAGCAUGUGCUCUUUCCUC
rnacentral:lncRNA from 1 species